rnacentral:rRNA from 1 species
UGGGGAAUUUUGGACAAUGGGGGCAACCCUGAUCCAGCCAUCCCGCGUGUGCGAUGAAGGCCUUCGGGUUGUAAAGCACUUUUGGCAGGGAAGAAACAGCCUGGGAUAAUACCCCGGGCGACUGACGGUACCUGCAGAAUAAGCACCGGCUAACUACGUGCCAGCAGCCGCGGUAAUACGUAGGGUGCAAGCGUUAAUCGGAAUUACUGGGCGUAAAGCGUGCGCAGGCGGUUCGGAAAGAAAGGUGUGAAAUCCAGGGCUUAACCUUGGAACUGCACUUUUAACUACCGAGCUAGAGUACGUCAGAGGGGGGUAGAAUUCCACGUGUAGCAGUGAAAAUGCGUAGAGAUGUGGAGGAAUACCGAUGGCGAAGGCAGCCCCCUGGGAUGAUACUGACGCUCAUGCACGAAAGCGUGGGGAGCAAACAGGAUUAGAUACCCUGGUAGUCCACGCCCUAAAACGAUGUCAACUAGCUGUUGGGGUUUAUUAACCUUAGUAGCGCAGC